rnacentral:rRNA from 1 species
CCAGACUCCUACGGGAGGCAGCAGUGAGGAAUAUUGGUCAAUGGGCGGGAGCCUGAACCAGCCAAGCCGCGUGAAGGAAGAAGGCGCCAAGCGUCGUAAACUUCUUUUGUCGGGGAACAAAGGGCGCCACGUGUGGCGUUGUGAGUGUACCCGAAGAAAAAGCAUCGGCUAACUCCGUGCCAGCAGCCGCGGUAAUACGGAGGAUGCGAGCGUUAUCCGGAUUUAUUGGGUUUAAAGGGUGCGUAGGCGGAAUAUCAAGUCAGCGGUAAAAAUUCGGGGCUCAACCCCGUCGUGCCGUUGAAACUGAUGUUCUUGAGUGGGCGAGAAGUAUGCGGAAUGCGUGGUGUAGCGGUGAAAUGCAUAGAUAUCACGCAGAACUCCGAUUGCGAAGGCAGCAUACCGGCGCCCAACUGACGCUGAAGCACGAAAGCGUGGGUAUCGAACAGGAUUAGAUACCCGUGUA